rnacentral:rRNA from 1 species
CUACGGGACGCUCCAGUUAGGAAUAUUUUGCAAUGCGCGCAAGCGUGACAAAUUGAGCCAGAGUGAUUCUCACACGAGAAUCUUUUGUGAAAUGUAAAAAGUUUCGCGAAUAAGGACUGGGUAAGACUAGUGCCAGCCGCCGCGGUAAUACUAGCGGUCCAAGUCGCAGCCAUUUUUAUUGGGUCUAAAACAUCCGUAGCUUGUUUUUUAAGUUCUUUGUGAAAUUUUAUCUCUUAAGGGUAAAGCGCGCAAGGAGUACUGGGAAACUAGAGACUGGAAGACGUAAGAAGUACGCCCCGAGUAAUGGUAAAAUAUGUUAAUCCGAGGCGGACUAACAAUAGCGAAGGCAUCUUACGAGGACAGUUCUGACAGUAAGGGAUGAAGGCUAGGGGCGCAAAACGGAUUAGAUACCCCAGUAGUC